UUAAGAAGGGAAGAUCAACACAAAGGGCAUUCCUCCAUGCUGCCCUGUGAGAGGCGACUGAGCUUCCUUGUGUUUGGAGAGCUGAAAUUGAGUUAGGCGCCUGCGCUUAAGGUGGCAACCCCGCCCCCAGCACUCCUGCCUAAGUUUAGAGAAGCUGAACAUUUGCCUCCUGGUUUGUGGAAGGAAAGCCUGGGAAUCUGACGUGCGGGUUGCAGAAGCUGGGGCCCGCUGUCGGAGUUCCAGCAAAGCUGAACAAUCCGAAUCUAGGCUCAGAAUGCAAAUCCUGGGACCCUCGCCGCCUGAGUCGGAAAAGCUGGCGAUCCGCCAGCUGCCUGAAUUGAGGUACUCAGAGCAGAGCCUGGGUUCAGGAAGGGCGGUCGGAGUCCCGCCACUCCGAGGUCGGAGAAGCUGAUGCCCACCCGCCGCCCAGGUUCUAGGAGCCGUCUGCCCAUAUCUACGCCAAGGGGACACUGAGAGGCGUGUUUCUGAUGGUCUUUGACGAAUUUGGACAACACCUACCCUUGCGUGAAAAUCAGGCCUCCAGGGGACUUCGCUCUUCCUUCCAGAACCUUCUAGAUCUGGGCUGAACUUGUGGCCUGAGACCUGCUUUCCAGCUCUCUGUGGAGAAGCCAGCAGCAGAUCUGAGAGACUUGAAACUGCAAUUGGAUUAUGUCGCUUGUUCUUCAUCCUACUGGAUGAUCCCAUUACAAAUAAUACUUGUAAUGACAGCUGUCA